CCUGAGAAACGGCUACCACAUCUAAGGAAGGCAGCAGGCGCGUAAAUUACCCACUCCCAGCACGGGGAGGUAGUGACGAAAAAUAACAAUACAGGACUCAUAUUCGAGGCCCUGUAAUUGGAAUGAGUACACUUUAAAUACUUUAACAAGGACCUAUUGGAGGGCAAGUCUGGUGCCAGCAGCUGCGGUAAUUCCAGCUCCAAUAGCGUAUAUUAAAGUUGUUGCGGUUAAACGUUCGUAGUUGAAUUUGUGCUUCAAACGGGUAGUACACCUAAAAUAUUGGUUCGUACAUUACCUUUUUGUAUGUGAGCGUAUUACCGGUGGAGUUUUAAUGCUGCGUGUGCUUCACAUUGUAGUAUUGGCUCCUAUUAAAAAAACCUGCUUCAGUGCUCUUUGCUGAGUGCGGUUGUGGGCCGGUACUAUUACUUUGAACAAAUUAGAGUGCUUAAAGCAGGCUACAAUUGCCUGAAUAUUUUGUGCAUGGAAUAAUGGAAUAAGACCUCUGUUCUACUUUCAUUGGUUUUUAGAUCAAGAGGUAAUGAUUAAUAGAAGCAGUUGGGGGCAUUAGUAUUACGACGCAGAGGGUGAAAUUCUUGGACCGUCGUAAGACUAACUUAAGCGAAAGCAUUUGCCAAAGAUGUUUUCAUUAAUCAAGAACGAAAGUUAGAGGUUCGAAGGCGAUCAGAUACCGCCCUAGUUCUAACCAUAAACGAUGCCAGCUAGCAAUUGGGUGUAGCUACUUUUAUGGCUUUCUCAGUCGCUUCCCGGGAAACCAAAGCUUUUGGGCUCCGGGGGAAGUAUGGUUGCAAAGCUGAAACUUAAAGGAAUUGACGGAAGGGCACCACCAGGAGUGGAGCCUGCGGCUUAAUUUGACUCAACACGGGAAAACUUACCAGGUCCGAACAUAAAUGAGUAAGACAGAUUGAUAGCUCUUUCUCGAAUCUAUGGGUGGUGGUGCAUGGCCGUUGUUAGUUCGUGGAGUGAUUUGUCUGGUUAAUUCCGAUAACGAACGAGACUC
rnacentral:rRNA from 1 species